CAUUGCUGGAACGCGCCCCAGGCGCACCCAGAAACCCUUUGUGAACUUAUACCUAUUGUUGCCUCGGCGCUAGCUGGCCCUCCGGGGCCCCUUGGAGACAAGGAGCGGCGCGCCGGCGGCCUACUUAACUCUGUUUCUUAGUGAAUCUCUGAGUAAAAAAACAAAUGAAUCAAAACUUUCAACAACGGAUCUCUUGGUCCUGGCAUCGAUGAAGAACGCAGCGAAAUGCGAUAAGUAAUGUGAAUUGCAGAAUUCAGUGAAUCAUCGAAUCUUUGAACGCACAUUGCGCCCUCUGGUAUUCCGGAGGGCAUGCCUGUUCGAGCGUCAUUUCAACCCUCAAGCCUGGCUUGGUGUUGGGGCACUGCCUGUGAAAGGGCAGGCCCUGAAAUAUAGUGGCGAGCUCGCCAGGACUCCGAGCGCAGUAGUAUAUCUCGUUCUGGAAGGCCUGGCGGUGCCCUGCCGUUAAACCCCAACUUUUGAAAAUUUGACCUCGGAUCGGGUAGGAAUACCCGCUGAACUUAA
rnacentral:rRNA from 1 species